CAACUAAUCCCUAUGUCCCAAAUUUCUUGUCUUAGAUUUGUCUAGAUACGGAUGUAUGAUACAUCCGUAUCUAGACAAAUCUAAGACAAGAAUUUUGGGACAGAGAGAGUAAUUU
rfam:Triticum aestivum genome assembly, contig: Triticum_aestivum_CS42_TGACv1_scaffold_035506_1BL